GACGAACGCUGGCGGCGUGCUUAACACAUGCAAGUCGAACGGAAAGGCCCUGCUUUUGUGGGGUGCUCGAGUGGCGAACGGGUGAGUAACACGUGAGUAACCUGCCCUUGACUUUGGGAUAACUUCAGGAAACUGGGGCUAAUACCGGAUAGGAGCUCCUGCUGCAUGGUGGGGGUUGGAAAGUUUCGGCGGUUGGGGAUGGACUAGCGGCUUAUCAGCUUGUUGGUGGGGUAGUGGCUUACCAAGGCUUUGACGGGUAGCCGGCCUGAGAGGGUGACCGGCCACAUUGGGACUGAGAUACGGCCCAGACUCCUACGGGAGGCAGCAGGGGGGAAUAUUGCACAAUGGGCGGAAGCCUGAUGCAGCAACGCCGCGUGCGGGAUGACGGCCUUCGGGUUGUAAACCGCUUUCGCCUGUGACGAAGCGUGAGUGACGGUAAUGGGUAAAGAAGCACCGGCUAACUACGUG
rnacentral:rRNA from 1 species